CGUCAUGUGUCACGCGCACAUGCUGUAAAUUAAAUUUUAAAUGUAAACCAGUAGAGCAGUGAUCAGAUAUUGUAGACUUGUGAAGUGUAAAGUCAGAAAAGUGUGAAGAGAAAAGGAAGAAUACUUAAGAAUGAAGGUGAUGGCUACUUUUCAUUGUAGUAUUAUAUUCUAUAUUAUCAAACAUCUACUUCUUAUUGGACACGUUUCAUGAUUUUAGUUCUAAAUCUAAGGAACGUUGUAUGAACAUCUGGCUCCAUUGCAGUUUAUGGGUCUCCUCAAUUUCAAUGGGAUCGAAUGUUAUCCUCAAACAAAAAUUCACAAGUUUAUGGUUUGUUUGGGAUAUAUGUGAAUAAUUUAUCAAUGUUGGAUGAAACUUAUAUUACCGAUUGUUUUUUGGAAGUAAUGGGGAUGGUAUAAGGUAUAACUCUCAAUAUCAAUAACCGACCAACGUUGCUGCCGUACAGUAAAUUUGGUGAGUGUUUUUUUUGUUAUUUGAUUCAUUUUGAAAUUUCCUGUCCACAAUUGGAAACUCAAUCUUAAGUUUCAAUUUCCAAAAGUUUUAUCUUUAUCACAACACCCUCCUAGUGAUCCAAAAGCAUUUUCACCACAGACUGCUCCCUAAAUGUUGAGGAAAUUGUCUGAUUUCCAUUUGAAAUAUUUAUAUGUAGAUUUUUGUGUUCAAAUGAUAAGAUUCCGGAGAAAUGAUUUAUGCACAGUAAGAAAAAGUAUUAGAAUUAAAAAUUCUCCUCAUGGCAGAAAAGGACUUCUCGCAUGUCGCACUUGAAAUAGGCAAAAUAGUUGCAGCUCUAAAAAGUUAGUAGAUGUUUCGUUUUGAUGAAAUUGUUGCAAAAUUUGAAAAAAAAUACGUCAUCUUGAGAUGGUCCUCAGUAGACGCCAGUAGGAAAAAGUCGAGGAAAAAGUGCUGUAAAGUAGACAACAUUUCCAAAACCCUAUCAAUGUACUUAUGCACACAAAGCCACCUUGUGGAAGACAGUUUUAAAAUUUUCUUUUUAGAAUCAUUCAGAUACUCCUGUAAUUCGGAUAGCUGAGCAGACCGUUUACCAUUAGCGGAUACAUAUGAGCUCAAAUCACGUAAUAGAUCCUUAGAAGCAGCAGGUAAAACAUUGCAAGCAGUACUUGCUAUUAUAGCUGCACUAUGACAAAUACAUUUAAUAACAAUUAGUACUUUUGUAUCAGCUAUUAGCCUAGUCAUAAAAGAAUUGUGCUUACCCAACAUUACAUUGCCUCCGUCAGAAGCUAACCCAAUAAUGUUUGUUAAAGGAAUAUCGCAUGCUAUGAAGUAUUGUUUAAAUUGUUUGUAUACGUUUUCUGUUGAGGUAUCAGUUGCAUCUAACUUUAACAUUUUUAGUAAUUUAGUAAUUAAAUUACCUGAAUCUAG